rnacentral:rRNA from 1 species
CCUACGGGGUGCAGCAGUGAGGAAUAUUGGUCAAUGGACGGAAGUCUGAACCAGCCAUGCCGCGUGCAGGAAGACGGCUCUAUGAGUUGUAAACUGCUUUUGUACAAGGGUAAACCUGAAUACGUGUAUUCAGCUGAAAGUACUGUACGAAUAAGGAUCGGCUAACUCCGUGCCAGCAGCCGCGGUAAUACGGAGGAACCAAGCGUUAUCCGGAUUUAUUGGGUUUAAAGGGUGCGUAGGCGGAUUGAUAAGUUAGAGGUGAAAUGUCCGAGCUUAACUCGGGAACUGCCUCUAAUACUGUUGGUCUAGAGAGUGGGUGCGGUAGGCGGAAUGUAUGGUGUAGCGGUGAAAUGCUUAGAGAUCAUACAGAACACCGAUUGCGAAGGCAGCUUACCAAUCUAUAUCUGACGUUGAGGCACGAAAGCGUGGGGAGCAAACAGGAUUAGAUACCCCAGUAGUC